GAUGAACGCUGGCGGCGUGCUUAACACAUGCAAGUCGAACGGAAAGGCUCCUGCUUUCCGGGGUACUCGAUUGGCGAACGGGUGAGUAACACGUGGGUGAUCUGCCCUUCACUUCGGGAUAAGCCUGGGAAACUGGGUCUAAUACCGGAUAGGACGAUUGUUUGGAUGCCAUUGUGUAAAGUUUUUUCGGUGUGGGAUGAUCUCGCGGCCUAUCAGCUUGUUGGUGGGGUAAUGGCCUACCAAGGCGUCGACGGGUAGCCGGCAUGUGAGGGUGUACGGCGACAAUGGGACUGAGAGACGGCGCAGACUCCUACGGGAGGCAGCAGGGGGGAAUAUUGCACAAUGGGGGCAAGCCUGAUGCAGCGACGCCGGGUGGGGGAUGACGGCUUUCGGGUUGUAAACUACUUUCGAUAGAGACGAAGAGCAAGUGACGGUACCUGGAGAAGAAGCACCGGCUAACUACGUG
rnacentral:rRNA from 1 species